rnacentral:rRNA from 1 species
ACAAGCCUGAGAAACGGCUAGUAGGACUAAGGUCUGCAGCAGGCGCGAAACUUACACAAUGCUAGAUUAUAAGUUAGCGAUGUAGUGAAGAAAAAUAACGAUGUGCUUGCAUUUAAACAUGCUUGCACAAUUGGAAUGAGACGACUCUAAACCGGUCAGUCGAGUAACAAAUGGAGGGCAAGUCUGGUGCCAGCAGCCGCGGUAAUUCCAGCUCCAUUAGCAUACAUUAAAGUUGUUGCGGUUAAAAAGCUCGUAGUUGAAUGUAGUUGUUGCGCGUUUGUCGCUGGGGCGUUAAGCGGAGCUUCGGCCUCGUGUCUCAGUCGGCAAUAGCGCAGCGAGUUUCGUCACUUAAUCGAGUGCGAAGCGGGGCAGGCUAACAAGACUUCGGUCUAGCUAACUUGCCGAGUUUACCUUGAGAAAAUUAGAGUGCUCAGAGCAGGCAGUUGGGGUGUAAAAGCUCCUUUAUGCUUGAAUAAUGUUGCAUGGAAUAAUAGAAUACGGCCUCGGUUCUAUUCUGUUGGUCUUAUAGAACAACAAACAAGUUGGUGUUGUCGUUAAAGGUUCUGUUUGAGUGUGUCUUGGAAGGACUUGUUGCCUGGGGGUAAAACUUCAGUGCCAACCAACCUUGACAUAAAAAGCACUCUCGCAAAGCCAGACAUGCAUCCAACUGAGGCAAUGGUUAAAAGAAAUAGUCGCGGCGGCAUCAGUACUGCAUCGUGAGAG